rnacentral:misc_RNA from 1 species
GUCUCUCUAUAAAUUCCCAAUCUUCACUAAUUGAUCGCAUCAGCAAGCAUAUCUUAAGCUCUUCUCGGUCGAAAAUCAAGAAAAUCCUUUGCAAAAUCGUUCUUUUCUGCUUGUACUAUUCUCUACCUUAACAGGUGGCUAUGGCUACUUCAACUCUGUCUUGGUCAGCUGCUCCUUUCGUGUCAAUGAAGCCCGCUAAUAUUUCAACUAAAGGAAUGGCUCCUUGCUCCUUAAGCUUCCAGCGGAGAGGUUCCAACAUGGGUAGGCCUGCACGGCUGUGUUUAGUGAGAGCUCAGGCUGGGGAAAACAAGGAUACAUCCGUGGAUGUGCAGGUCAGUAAUCAGGGUAACCAAGGCCUAGCAGUUGAGAAAAGACCUCGGACAUUGGCUGGUGAUGUCUCACCUUUCGGUUUGUUAGAUCCAUUUUCUCCUAUGAGGACAAUGCGUCAAAUGCUGGACACAAUGGACAGCAUAUUUGAGGAUGCGAUGACAUUGCCUGGUAGCAGAAGCAGGACAGCAGCAGGGGAAGCACGUGCACCUUGGGACAUCAAAGAUGACGAAAAAGAGAUCAAGAUGAGGUUCGACAUGCCAGGACUUUCCAAGGAAGAUGUGAAGGUCUCUGUGGAGGAUGAUGUGCUUGUCAUAAAGGGUGAGCAAAAGAAGGAAGAAGGUGGAGAUGAUUCAUGGUCUAGCAGAAGUUUCAGUUCCUACGAUACACGUCUUAAACUUCCAGAUAAUUGCGAGAAAGAUCGAAUCAAGGCUGAGCUGAAGAAUGGAGUUCUCUUCAUUUCCAUUCCUAAGACCCAAGUGGAACGCAAGGUCAUUGGUGUAGAAAUCCAGUGAAAGAUUAUUUAUGAAGAUGUGUAAGUUUUUUGUUUAAGGUGUGCGGUUCUCGGUAUGCAUGUAUGCGUAUAGAACAAUGAGUCCUUCAACUAUGUAUUAUUAAUCAGGAACUUUGUAUAAGGAAGAACAUCUUGCUUGCUAUUAAAAGGUUGCGAAGAAAAAAAUUGGCUGAAUUUCUACACCAAUGACCUUGCGUU